AACGAACGCUGGCGGCAUGCCUAACACAUGCAAGUCGAACGAGAUCUUCGGGUCUAGUGGCGCACGGGUGCGUAACGCGUGGGAAUCUGCCCUUUGGUUCGGAAUAACAGUUGGAAACGACUGCUAAUACCGGAUGAUGACGAAAGUCCAAAGAUUUAUCGCCAGAGGAUGAGCCCGCGUAGGAUUAGCCAGUUGGUGUGGUAAAGGCGCACCAAGGCGACGAUCCUUAGCUGGUCUGAGAGGAUGAUCAGCCACACUGGGACUGAGACACGGCCCAGACUCCUACGGGAGGCAGCAGUGGGGAAUAUUGGACAAUGGGCGAAAGCCUGAUCCAGCAAUGCCGCGUGAGUGAUGAAGGCCUUAGGGUUGUAGAGCUCUUUUACCCGGGAUGAUAAUGACAGUACCGGGAGAAUAAGCUCCGGCUAACUCCGUGCCAGCAGCCGCAGUAA
rnacentral:rRNA from 1 species